GCUAUUUUGGCAGAUAAUAUGCAUUAAAUUUAGGAUUUAAUUAUAUAGGGAUCUAUAGAUAGUAAAAUAAUUUUUAGGGCUAAUUAUUUU
rnacentral:tRNA from 1 species